rnacentral:rRNA from 1 species
AGUGAACGCUGGCGGUAGGCCUAACACAUGCAAGUCGAACGGCAGCACAGUAAGAGCUUGCUCUUACGGGUGGCGAGUGGCGGACGGGUGAGGAAUACAUCGGAAUCUACUUUUUCGUGGGGGAUAACGUAGGGAAACUUACGCUAAUACCGCAUACGACCUACGGGUGAAAGCAGGGGAUCUUCGGACCUUGCGCGAUUGAAUGAGCCGAUGUCGGAUUAGCUAGUUGGCGGGGUAAAGGCCCACCAAGGCGACGAUCCGUAGCUGGUCUGAGAGGAUGAUCAGCCACACUGGAACUGAGACACGGUCCAGACUCCUACGGGAGGCAGCAGUGGGGAAUAUUGGACACUGGGCGUAAGCCUGAUCCAGCCAUACCGAGUGAGUGAAGAAGGCCUUCGGGUUGUAAAGCCCUUUUGUUGGGAAAGAAAAGCAGCAGGUUAAUACCCCGCUGUUCUGACGGUACCCAAAGAAUAAGCACCGGCUAACUUCGUG